rnacentral:rRNA from 1 species
CCUACGGGUGGCAGCAGUGGGGAAUAUUGGGCAAUGGGCGCAAGCCUGACCCAGCAACGCCGCGUGAAGGAAGAAGGCCCUCGGGUUGUAAACUUCUUUUGUCAGGGACGAAACAAAUGACGUUACCUGACGAAUAAGCCACGGCUAACUACGUGCCAGCAGCCGCGGUAAUACGUAGGCGGCAAGCGUUAUCCGGAUUUACUGGGUGUAAAGGGCGUGUAGGCGGGAGAGCAAGUCAGAUGUGAAAUUCCAGGGCUCAACCCUGGAACUGCAUUUGAAACUGUUUUUCUUGAGUGAUGGAGAGGCAGGCGGAAUUCCGGGUGUAGCGGUGAAAUGCGUAGAUAUUAGGAGGAACACCAGUGGCGAAGGCGGCCUGCUGGACAUUAACUGACGCUGAGGCGCGAAAGCGUGGGGAGCAAACAGGAUUAGAUACCCCGGUAGUC